rnacentral:rRNA from 1 species
CAGUAGGGAAUCUUCCACAAUGGACGCAAGUCUGAUGGAGCAACGCCGCGUGAGUGAAGAAGGUCUUCGGAUCGUAAAACUCUGUUGUUAGAGAAGAACACGAGUGAGAGUAACUGUUCAUUCGAUGACGGUAUCUAACCAGCAAGUCACGGCUAACUACGUGCUAG